UUCGCCAAAAAAAUGUGAGACACAUCCCGCAGCUAGGGUUCCUACCACCGCCGUCGUCUCCUCGCCCUCGCUUCUUUGAGGAACCUUCGCCAUGACCGCCUCCCUCGCCACUUUCUCCAUGCGUUGGAACGACGUCGCCGCCCAUCCUCCUCGCCUUGGGGAAGGCAUCGCCGCGGCCGUUCCUCCGCUCGAUCAGAGAUGCAGAUGUCGCUGUUGUUCCUACGCACGCAAGUACGACGCACUCGUCCUCCUCAACUACAUCCAUUCAGAAGGUCCUAUUCUGUCUUCCGUGUAUCUGCAAUUUUGUAUUUGUAUAUCAGUAGUAAAAGGUAAUAUUCCCCCCGACCCUGCACAUCCUUGUUUUUCCUUUGCCGACGGCGCCUUAGAAGCUACAACACCGAUGGAUCACAUCCUCAUUGAGACAUGUCCCUGCCCACGCAGUAGCACAUGCUGACUUCGAACCUACAAAGAUUUUCUAUUUAGUCGCAUAACUGAAGGGAACCAUUUAACAGGUACUUAAGUUUCUUAGUGAAAUAAAUGCAGGAUUCUUCUGCUCAAACAUUGAACAAAUAGAAAAGAUGGUUUCUACAGAGAUGACAAGUUGAUGAACAUGUAAGGAACAUCACUGAAUUGAUAAAUAUAAAUAAGCAUUCAGGUUUUUCUCAGGAAGUGACAAUAAUUUCGUUGUGGUCAACCAAAAGGGAAUUGAUCCUCGACCCCUCAGUCUCCUAGCUAGAUCAGGGUAACCAAUUCUGACUUAUUACUACCUGAUGGUUCUGCACUUACAUUCACCCCUAAUCUGUUUGGGGUUCCAUUUUCGUUAAGAACAUGUGUCAUGAUGUCCCUAGCUGAACUUAGAAUAUGAAAGUUGUUUGACAUUAUGCUAAUAAUGGUACUCUUUUUUUUGCGAGGGCUAAUAAUAAUGGUACUCUAUAGGCCACGAAACCACCAGUUAUGUUUAAGACAAAACCAUUGUAGAAAUAAAAGUUCAGCAACCUUUUUUUGGCGGGCUUUAACUUGGAAGGGCUAAUGCCUGUACAUAAGGUAUGUAACUAUACUAAAACCUAAGCAUGACGAUUGAUGUUCCAAGUGAUGCAUGUACAUAUCUCUAUGGCCCCGCAACAUUUUCUUAUGUCCGGAACAUGCAAGUAACAUAUAUGUUUUGCUCCCAACAAACAGAGUUACUAAUGUCGGUAAUAGUUAGUGGCUGGGCACAUAUGAAUUCAUUUAUAACAGUCAUAUUCUAACGCUGACCAAGCUUCUUCCUUGCUAUUAGUAGAUAUAUAGAUUUAACAAAAAAGCAUGUACUACACCCUACGCUCCUAUCCAAACUCCAAAAUGCUGAUUAUUUCAGCACACUCUAGUUCAGUUCAGACCAACAGCAAAAAACUAGUCGUAUUCUACAACCAGUGCAGCUAAGUACUAUAAAAAAUAAUCAUAAUCAAUCCUUCAUCACAAGUACUAAAAUAGGAAUGAUGUUUAUUUUUCAUGAUUGGUUGAGACCAGUCCGGCCACACAAGUCUAAACAAGACUUAGUGCCCAAGUAUAAUCCUGUGCGCCUAGUAGCAGGCUAGCUUCUAAAGUAAGUCUGUCCACACAAGUUCAAACAGGACUUGGUGCUCAAGUCUAAUCUCAUGCGCCUAGUAUCAGAUUUAAUUCUGAUCUGUUUUUUUAGUACAAGCUAAGCUCCUCCUGUAGAGGCUGAUCCAAAUCAUAAUACUGAGCACCUGAAUAACCGAAUACGGUUGGAACAAGGAAGAACUCUGGGUGUUACAUUACGGACUAAAACGGAUGGGCGGAGGGAUUUUUUUCUGCCACUGCAAUGUACAGGGCAUAUUUGCUAUUAUGUAAAAGAAGGAAAAACAUUUUUUUUCUAUAAGCCAUCUCUCUCUAUCAUUUUGCUGCAAUUCUUCCAGAAAUACAGCAUAAUCUCAAUCUAGUUAAUUCAAAAAUAAUGUUUGCAUCCCCUUGUUCAGGAAGAAUGUUUUAUUCAUCACUUGUCUGUAUGUGUUAAGUCAGGAAAAAUGUUGUGUCCCUUGUUCUCAAUACUUAUUUCUUGUUAGGCAUUAGGUUUUAAUUUUCUUGCUGCCAUGUUUGUGGAUCUAACCGAUUUCCACUGGAUCUCUGCUUGUGGUCCGAGUCCUGAUCUCUGCUUGGCAUGGAGCUGCAAGAUCAGAUGGAAACCAGACUUCCUAUGGUAGGCUCAGUCUGGUAGGUUCAUAUUUCCCAGCUGCUAAUGAAUUAUUCUCUGAUGUUCUCUCUUGUAUACUGAUCAGAACAUGCUCUUGUCUAUAUCAAUUAGAUCAUGCAUUCCUUCAAGGUCGAGUCAGGGUCUAAGGGUAGGCGUGAUGACGAGCAUAAGUGAAUUAGAUAGCUUAGAGUUCUCUUUCCCCUUUCUGUUUCUUAGUUCCUUAUAUGUACGUCUUGUUUUUAUGAAUGUGUUGAUAACUACAACUGUCUGAUUAUGCUCUUUUUCGUGUUGUUGAUUCUGCAGGUUCUGAGAUUUUUUUACAUGGAUCGGGAUAUUAAAAUGUGUGCCUUUGUAGUUCUUAGGUAACUACGAAGUCUUGCGUGAUCUAGAUUAUUUGAAGAUUUUCAAGUCGUUGGCACUGAGACUUCCCUAAAACACCAUAGCAAGAAUGAGUAAUGAAUCAUCCCUAGCAUGAGUAGUAGACUGUCCUUAGUUUACAAAGUAAGGGUGAACCUAUGUUUUGGUAUGCACUUUCUUUUCUGAAUGAUCCUUAGAUAUUCAGAACAUGUGCAGGGCAAGUGGGAAAAAAAGAAUAUCCAGUUCACAAAGUAACAGUGAAGACUCAGAAGUCUGUGUUUGUACUUCAUAACAUGGUGAUGACCUUUUCGCUUGUGUAUUAUUGUUCUUUCUUUGCAGGGUGAUGGUAGUGACAUGCAAAUAUCUGCAGUUUCCAUUUUUGCAGUUUGGUCCUUUUUAAUAGAUGGGAACACUAAAAAUAUAUAAUGAUAGUUCAUAUGGUUUUGAGCUGAUGUAAGAUGCAAAAAUGAAAAUUGUACUCAGAUAUAGGCUGCAUAAUCUACAAUGUUUUUUAAUAAGUUCAUUUGGAAGAAGAUUUUAUAUUCAGAUUAUUAAUUAGCCACACAUCUGUAUAUAAAUCUAAGCAUUGGUAAAUCACAUUUCUAUGGUGCUCCUUUGAAUUUUUAAAUUUUACUAAACUGAUUUUCUCUAUUGUAACUAACUCAUCUAAUAUUGUUGUAGAACAAAGAUAAAUUAACGAUUCAUGGCUCAGAUGGUGAUUGCAAGGUUAAGAAUGGAGCUUCUACCAGAUAAUUAGAAUGUUAUUCUUAGGAUCAAUGUUUCAAACAUUAUAGUUGAUUGCACGGUCAAGAAAUGGGCUACUACUAGAUAGUUUCACCUCUUGUAAUCUUUGGACCAUGUUAUUUGUAAUGAAAAAUGCUUGAUUUAAUAUAUGAGAUCUUUAUGUUUAUUA